AUGAAGGAAAUGAUAGAAGCAGAGGCAUUGUACACAACACAGGUCUCUCUGUGGCUGACACGAAUACUCUGCAAUGGCAUCAUUCAUGAACUAGCCGGCAAAGGCGUGUUCCGGAAACUAGCAGCAGCACUUGGCGGCGAUCGAGGACGGCUGCCUAGACUCCUCGUUGUUGUAACACCACCAGUGGAUAUCCUCAACCCAGAGGAGGACCAGCUGCGUACACACAAGCCUGCGACGGAGCUUGUAAGGAGAGUGUACGACAACGCCAAGAAGGCCAAACAUUUCGAAUGCAUGGCUUGGGUCGACGCAAGGCUCCACGCGCAGCGCAAGCAGAGGCUUCAGUGCAUACUCCAACAACUGGUGCACCCCUCAUCUGGUGAGGCAGCACAAGUCGACGAUGAGAAGGAGCUCAAGAAAAAGAUUCAGGAACACCUGAAAGGUAAAAAGUUCUUAAUUGUUCUGGCUGAUCAUGAUGAUCUCACACCAUGGGAAGACAUAACGCUAACAGAUGCUCUGCCCACUGACUACUCUGAAGACAGUGCUAUCAUAGUAACUCCCUCAAUGCAGCACCCAGUUCAAUUGCAUGUGUGGUACGCAGCCAGCUGGUUUUUCUUGGGAAGAGCCACUCACUAUAAAGUGCACUUCUAUUCUCACCUUGAUGCUCUAAACAAGAAAGCCAAUGAAUUGCUAGUCGGUAGCCACCCUAGAAAAGAUGAAGUACAUGCCAUCGUCAAGCAAAUCCUCAAGAAAUGUCGCUGGGAUGCCUUUUCCACCAAGAUGGUCCUUCAGGCUCUGUAUGCUAAUCCUCACAGAAGCAAGGCCGAGUUGGAGACACUGCUGGAUAGCAUAAGAGAGUUUAACACAGUCCCUAAUGCCCGGAACAUCAUAAGGUUAUGCUAUGAUGACCUCCCCAGUCAGUACAAGGCGUGCUUGCUAUACCUAUCAAUUUUCCCCCUAGGUUCCAAGAUCAGAAGGACAAGCUUAGUCAGAAGAUGGGCAGCUGAAAACAUCAUCACCAAAAGGUACGACCUCAGUGCAAUGGAUGAAGGUGACCGUGCUUUCAGUGCACUACUUGACCGAGGACUUCUUCUUCCUUGCCGCAUUGAUCCUGCAGACAAAGUCAAGAGCUGUACAGUGCAUCAUCAUGUCCUCUCCUUCAUUGCCGAGAUGGCCCGUGAGGACAAUAUUGGCAACACACUUCUGCCGCUAGCCUUGUCUCGCCGUCUCUCCAUUCGCAACGGAAUUCAAGUUCUAGAACUCUCCAAGAAGCAACAGGGCACACGUUCCAAUGCCUGCUGGAGAUUCCACGGGUCUUCUCGCUCCAGACGUUCAGAAGAUUCUCAAGGUCCAUUGGAUGACAUGGUCACGUUUCUCAACGUACUGCAUGAAUCUCCUCGGUUGGGAUUGAUCAAAGUGCUUGACCUGGAAGACUGCACUGGACUGAAGAACCGCAACCUCAAGAACAUAUGUAACAAGAUAUUUCAGCUCAAGUAUCUGAGUGCAAGGAAGACAAGCAUCACCGAGCUGCCCAAGGAGAUCAGCAAGCUCCAAGACUUGGAGACACUUGACAUCAGGGAAACCAAGAUAAAAUCGUUCCCUGCAAAAGCAACUCUGCCACCAAAGCUAGUGCAUCUGCUUGCUGGUGACAUUUACCGUCCAUCUAACAAUGACACUGGAUCUACUGAAUCAUAUUCCACCAUCCAUAUGCCUCCUGGGAUUGGGAGCAUGACAAACAUGGAGAUACUAUCCCAUGUUGCAGUUUCCGAGAGUGCAGAUGAGCUGCAGCAUGUUGGCCAGCUGCAGCGGUUGAGGAAACUGGGUCUAGUUAUCCAUGGCAACAGCGACAGGCUGCUCAGUAUUUUGCUUAGAGUAAUCUGGAAGCUUGAAUGCCUAUACUCUUUGUCAGUCCAUAUUGAGGCCGGUGGCAAGGAUGCUGACAUGAACACGAAGGGCAUAACAAUCUCGCCUCCCAAGUCUCUUGAAAGACUUAGCAUCAGUGGCAACAUCAGCGAACUGCCUAGAUGGAUUGAAGAGCUUCCUCAGCUUUCCAAGAUAACGUUAUGCCGUACCUCCUUGACAGAGAGUGAUAUACAGUUCUUAGGUAAACUUGUGAACCUGCGCUACAUCAGGCUCCGCCAUGAGUCAUAUACUCCAAAGAAGCUUACUUUCAAGGAGAAAGAAUUCAAAAGACUUGAGUUUCUUAUCAUCGAGGGCACAAUAAUCUCCGACAUCACAUUUGAACAGUAUGCAGCCAGUCAGCUCGAGAAGAUGGUUUGGACGCCCACCAGCAUGGUAAAGCUAUGUGGAUUGGAACACCUCCUAAGACUACAAAUGGUUAAGAUCAACGGCAAUUGCAACAUGGAUGACAUCAACAUGGAAGCACAUCCAAAUCAUCCUAUCCUGGAAAUCAUUGAGGCCAAUGCUACUGCUACCGCCAGCAACGCUCCUGCUCUGCAGUAG
rnacentral:rRNA from 1 species